rnacentral:rRNA from 1 species
UACGAAGGGGCGAGCGUUGUUCGGAAUCACUGGGCGUAAAGGGCGCGUAGGCGGCCCUCUUAGUCGCGUGUGAAAGCCCCGGGCUCAACCUGGGAACGGCGCGCGAAACGGGAGGGCUGGAGUUCGGGAGAGGAGAGUGGAAUUCCCGAGUGUAGAGGUGAAAUUCGUAGAUAUUGGGAAGAACACCGGUGGCGAAGGCGGCUCUCUGGACCGAGACUGACGCUGAGGCGCGAAAGCGUGGGGAGCAAACAGG